UACGUAGGGUGCAAGCGUUAAUCGGAAUUACUGGGCGUAAAGCGUGCGCAGGCGGUGAUGUAAGACAGAUGUGAAAUCCCCGGGCCACACUGGGAACUGCAUUUGUGACUGCAUCGCUGGAGUACGGCAGAGGGGGAUGGAAUUCCGCGUGUAGCAGUGAAAUGCGUAGAUAUGCGGAGGAACACCGAUGGCGAAGGCAAUCCCCUGGGCCUGUACUGACGCUCAUGCACGAAAGCGUGGGGAGCAAACAGG
rnacentral:rRNA from 1 species